rnacentral:tRNA from 1 species
GGGGCUGAAGCUAAGUGGCAGAGUGCUUGCCUAGCAUGCAUGAGGCAUUGGGUUCGACCCUCAGCAUCA